rnacentral:rRNA from 1 species
UAAGGUGGCAUUGCCACGAGUGCUCCACCCGUUCCCAUCUCGAACACGGAAGUGAAAUCUCGUAGGGCCCAUGAUAGUCGUUUACUCGGCGAAAGUAGGUCGCCGCCUUAC